CCCUUUGUCUACCUGACCACUGUUGCUUCGGCGAGCCCGUCUGUAAUGGACCGCCGGGGGGUACCUUGAUCGGCCCUCUGGUCCGCGCUCGUCGAUAGCCAAACUUUUAAAAUCUUAACCAAACGUGUCUCAAUCUAAGUAUUAUUUGUUAAAUAAAAGCAAAACUUUCAACAACGGAUCUCUUGGUUCUGGCAUCGAUGAAGAACGCAGCGAAAUGCGAUAAGUAAUGCGAAUUGCAGAAUUUCAGUGAGUCAUCGAAUCUUUGAACGCACAUUGCGCCCUUUGGUAUUCCGAAGGGCAUGCCUGUUCGAGCGUCAUUAUCACCCCUCAAGCCCCUGGCUUGGUGUUGGACGGUUUGGUGGAGGCCCCCUCGCGGGGCCACCGCCCCUCCCAAAGACAAUGACGGCGGCCUCGUUGGACCCCCGGUACACUGAGUUCUUCACGGGACACGUAUCGGACACAUGGGUUUACGGGACACGGUCUGCCUCCCCUCAGGGAGAAUCUUUCUAAGGUUGACCUCGGAUCAGGUAGGGAUACCCGCUGAACUUAAGCAUAUC
rnacentral:rRNA from 1 species